UGCCCGAAGGGUCAGUACCAACCCAUCUCAAGACAAACUACGUGUAUUGAAUGCCCUACACGUACGACCACACGGACAAAUGGCUCUAUUGACGCCGAUCAAGGCGUGUACUCCUGGGUAUGUUUCCCCAACCGGAACCAUUCCUUGCUCUCCGUGUGAUGUUGGCUCAUAUUCACCUCUGUACGGACGAACACAAUGCAUGUUGUGUACAGAGUCAAAAACCACGAGAGCUAAUGUGGCGGCUACAGAAAGAGAAGAAUGUUAUGAUUUUGACUUGGAGUUUUCAAGCGAUAUAUAUUCAUACGGCAAUGCCUCGGUGCGAUUUACGCCCACUUCGAACUGUACGAACCUCUUACCGGACCUCUGGAUGCAUUGCAGCACAUGUGACCGCAUCUUAGAGAUUACAGACGCGCACGGGCAACCAGUGUUUAGAUUGGAAAUUCG